UGAGCGACCUGCACGUAGACUCCCCAUCAGGCCAUCACGUGUACCUCCACCGCUUAGCCUAUCCAUUCGUCUCCAGCGAGAUGCAUCUGUAUCCCUCUCAUCCCCAUCCACAUGUGCUUCCACAGAUAUGUGCAGUCGUUGCUUCAACGCUGCAGAGCCAGCGGGAUUUGCCGCGCUGGGAGAGCCGGCUGUCCGGCGAGCGCCAGCUGGAUUUGUGUCAAUUUUGUGGCUGCAUGCAGUUUCCACAGCAUCUCUUUCCACCGGAGCGCCCGCAGCCCGAUCUCCUCCCCUCUCCUCCGUUUUCCACAGCAUCUCUUUCCACCGGAGCGCCCGCAGCCCGAUCCCCUCCCCUCUCCUCCGUGAGUAAGAGAGGAGAUAGAGCAGACCGUGCAACUACACACGCAAAGAGAGGACGACAGUUCCUGCUUGAGAGUUGCGGCUUGGCAUGUUCCCCUCAGAUCAAGUCAAUGAUACAUGCAAGCAGUCGGCUGCUUCUCACUUGAGGAUCCGUUUGGCAGAGGCGGAAGCACCAGGCAAGUAGGACGCUGAGGCGUUCACUCCGGCGACACCGACACUGACAAUGUGAUCUAAUUGGCGCCGGCAAUUUGAUCCGAUUGGCGGAGUUAAAGGACCAAUCUGUGUAGAGUGGAGAAGAAAGCUCAUCAGCUAACAUAAAAAAAUGGAGGAACUCGUAUGACGUAUGGGGCCUACAUGUAGUAACGUAUAUCCAGUCUGAAUCUAACAUAUAAAGAUCAAAGUCUCCUCACCAUGACUCGCUGGAGUUAUGUAUGUACGUAGCGGCUGCCACUCCAUGGCCACCAGAUCCCUACCGCUGCAGCAUCAAUUCCUUGUCACCAUGAUCAAGGGUACAUAGCAGCAGCAUACAUAAGGAUAUGUACAUAUCAUGAAGCAAUUGUAAUCAGCAAGCAGCAGCCUUCUCUGUGUUCUCUGUAUAGAUGUGUAGUAACCAAGCAGCAGCAUGAACAAAAUUGCAGCAGCGGGCUGCUGCUCUCCUCUCUGAUCUCUCUCUAUAUGCAAUAGUAGUAUAGCAGAACAUCAAAAUUAGCUACCGCAGAGCAAUCUCGAAAAAAUAGUAGGAAUAUAAUUAAAAAGAUUCUAAUGUGUUUA